rnacentral:rRNA from 1 species
GACGAGCCACCCGAACGUUAUUCGGAAUUACUGGGCUUAAAGGGUGCGUAGGCGGUGCAGCAAGUCGGGAGUGAAAUACCUCAGCUUAACUGAGGAACUGCUUUCGAUACUGCUGUGCUUGAGUGAGACAGAGGUAAGCGGAACUUAGGGUGGAGCGGUGAAAUGCGUUGAUAUCCUAAGGAACACCGGUGGCGAAGGCGGCUUACUGGGUCUCUACUGACACUGAGGCACGAAAGCCAGGGUAGCAAACGGG